AUAUCUUUUUCAGUCUUUUAGCUAAGAUAAAGUGUAAUACUUAUUUUUACCAAUUUAGUGUCUGGUACAUGGACCGUAUGUUCGUUUUGAUAUUAAAAUUAUUUAUUAUGGGUAUCUUUUGGGGAGAAAGAUCACCACACUGGUUUAUUGACCCCUCGCCUGUCACUUGGCCAUUGCACUGCUAUAAGGUCUACCUAUC
rfam:Zea mays cultivar B73 chromosome 1, whole genome shotgun sequence.